GGUGGUUCCUUACCCAGGCCAUGAUCUUGUCAGACCUUAUAAGCUGAGUUGGGGUGGGCCUGUGUUAGGAUUUGGAUGAGAGAACUUGAAGAAAAUUCCUGGUAGGGACCAGAA
rnacentral:rRNA from 1 species